rnacentral:rRNA from 1 species
GAUGAACGCUGGCGGCGUGCCUAAUACAUGCAAGUCGAGCGAACAGACGAGGAGCUUGCUCCUCUGACGUUAGCGGCGGACGGGUGAGUAACACGUGGAUAACCUACCUAUAAGACUGGGAUAACUUCGGGAAACCGGAGCUAAUACCGGAUAAUAUAUUGAACCGCAUGGUUCAAUAGUGAAAGACGGUUUUGCUGUCACUUAUAGAUGGAUCCGCGCCGCAUUAGCUAGUUGGUAAGGUAACGGCUUACCAAGGCAACGAUGCGUAGCCGACCUGAGAGGGUGAUCGGCCACACUGGAACUGAGACACGGUCCAGACUCCUACGGGAGGCAGCAGUAGGGAAUCUUCCGCAAUGGGCGAAAGCUUGACGGAGCAACGCCGCGUGAGUGAUGAAGGUCUUCGGAUCGUAAAACUCUGUUAUUAGGGAAGAACAAAUGUGUAAGUAACUAUGCACGUCUUGAGGGUACCUAAUCAGAAAGCCACGGCUAACUACGUG